rnacentral:piRNA from 1 species
UGCAACUAAAGGGGUGCACCACUAUA